GACCUUGCACACACUAGGGAAAUGAUCAAGCCCUCAGCUACAUUCCCCACCUCAUUUGUUGCUUUCUAAUCAUCACCACUGCAUGGCAAGGGUUGUUUAAAAGACAUCAAGGAAAGGCAAAUACUUUCUGUGGGAGAAAGCAAAGAAAACUUCAACCACAAGAUGCACAAAUGUGAAGGCCCUUGAUUCCCCUGCAUCUCACAGCAGGAUUCUGGACUGUUUGCAUGGAUUCCCUGCAACUUCUGGGCAUGCUUUAGGUUGGCGAUGACUCAUUGAACAGAAAGGCAUCUUUCACUGCUAAAGAGAAGACAUGUUUAAACAGAGCAUUCUUAAUCCUUCUUAAACAGGAGGCUACCCAGAUGACAGUUCAGCCCUUCUUAUGCUGUGCUUUCAUGCAGGACCCAUGCUGCUGAGCUAGCAAUUUGCAUAGCACAGUAGAAUCCUCAGACACAAGCAGUCCUAGGAGAAAAUCAACUCUCCAAUGUGCCUUAGAAGAGAUGGCCAUCUCCCUGGAGGCAGGAGAGCAGCAAGGACCAUGGACAAAGGCACUCUUCUCAGAAGGGUGAGGAGCCAGGACUCAUGUCUCCUGCUACAACAGGGAUCAUAGCUCCACGUCUUUCUCCCCGCAGUGCUACAUCCACCCCC